UACGUAGGGGGCAAGCGUUGUCCGGAAUUAUUGGGCGUAAAGAGCGUGUAGGCGGUUUGGUAGGUCCGUUGUGAAAACUCGAGGCUCAACCUCGAGACGCCGGCGGAAACCAUCAGGCUAGAGUCCGGAAGAGGAGAGUGGAAUCCUGGUGUAGCGGUGAAAUGCGCAGAUAUCAGGAAGAACACCCGUGGCUAAGGCGGCUCUCUAGUACGGUACUGACGCUGAGACGCGAAAGCGUGGGGAGCGAACAGG
rnacentral:rRNA from 1 species